UGAGGAAUAUUGCACAAUGGGCGAAAGCCUGAUGCAGCAACGCCGCGUGAGGGACGAAGGCCUUCGGGUCGUAAACCUCUUUUCUGGGGGACGAGUAAGGACGGUACUCCAGGAAUAAGUCUCGGCUAACUACGUGCCAGCAGCCGCGGUAAAACGUAGGAGGCGAGCGUUAUCCGGAUUUACUGGGCGUAAAGCGUACGCAGGUGGCUUCGUUAGUCGGACAUGAAAGCUCCUGGCUUAACUGGGAGAGGUUGUUCGAUACUGCGGGGCGUGCAGUUGGGAGAGGGACGUGGAAUUCCCGGUGUGGUGGUGGAAUGCGUAGAUAUCGGGAGGAACACCAGUGGCGCAAGCGGCGUCCUGGCCCACACCUGACGCUGGGGUACGAAAGCGUGGGUAGCAAACAG
rnacentral:rRNA from 1 species